AGUGGGAAUAUGUGCUCUGUAAACAGUUUCUUCUUCUGCCUGCCUCAGCUGUGCAGCCAGGAAUGCGGGAUUUGUGCAGCCAGAAAAAGUCUAUUCAAAAGAGGUCUGUCUCUUUAGCACCGGCAGUUAAAAUAUUCAGCAGGGCCGAAGUGGAUUUCUCCGUCCCCUUGGCAUUCAUGCAAUCUACAUGAGAUAAUGAAGGAAAAUCAGGCACGAUCUGAAGACCGCCGCAGCCCGGGUUCUCUGUGCUCACCAGCAGAGCUCUCCCUGGGCUCUGCAGCUCUUCUUGGCCACGCCACCCAAUGUGUGGCCCUGUUGCAGGACCCUGCACACCCUGCACGAGAAGUUGGGAAGCCACCAGAAGUUAAAAAGCAUCAGCGCUCCGACCCUUUGCCACCGCACUUCCAGUUCUGCACUGCAGAGUUACACGGUCCUGAUGGAAGCCAUCCUACUUUGCCAGUGCGACAGCCACCUCGAAGGCACCGGGGAGCUGGGAUGCGAAGAGAAAAUGAAGACUCUUUGUUACAAGCUGUAACGGAGGCAGAGGGAGCAGCUCUCCGUCUCCGUGCGGGUCUCUUUCCUUUAGGUGGCAGUAUGAGUUUGCAGCUCCCCGCAGCACCGAGACCUGCAGGGGAGCAUCCUCUGCCUGCACGCAACUAUCGCCGGGUUAAUUUUCCAGAAAAUCCUGCACAAGCAAUUAAAAUGUUAAUGUUGUGAGGGAAAUGCCUCCGUUGAAGUAAACUCAUCCGAGAGUCGGUUGCGCUCGGUGGAAGGGGAACAGUCUAUUGAUUUUGAACAAGGUCAUAUCUCAUCAGACUUGCCACCUGGAUUAUUUUUGUUUGCGUUGAUCAGCGACCGAGUCCUUGAUUUCACAGCGAGUUUGAAAUCACCUUAAUGAAGCAGAAAUUUGAGGGGGGGGCGGUUUUCCUACCAACGCUUUCCUUUAUUACUGAAAUGUGCUCCCUCACCUGUUUAUCUCUGACCACCUGCUCACUCCAUGCUUGCUAACCUGGUUUUGCUAAAGCAGCAGUAGCUGAUGCAAAACUCUCAGUCCUAGGAUUUGCCAUCCAAGUUCACAUCAUACACCAUGAUUUGUGCUCCGGACAGCAUUGCCUUCUCUCAGAAGGACAAGGGGAAAGGGUUUCAAAUUAAAAGAGGGGAGAUUUUGAGUAGAUAUAAGGAAAAAAGUUUUUUGCAAUAAGAGUGGUGAGGCAUUGGAACAGGUUGCCGAGAUGUGGUGGAUGUCCUGUCCUUGGAGACGCUCGAGGUCAGGCUGGUAUGGGCUCUGAGCAACCCGAUGUAGCUGCAGGUGUCUCUGUUCAUUGCAGGUGAGUUGGAACAGGUGACCUUUAAAGGUCCCUUCCAACUCAGAUGAUUCUAUGGUUCUAUGAUAUGAAUGCCUCCAAGUGGAAUUCUGCUAAACGCCAGAAAAAUCCAUCUGCUUAUGGAGCCUUCAAACGACUUACAGUAGUUGUGCAUUUCACUUUAUUGGUGAAUAUAGAAGGAAGGACUAUAAUAGAAAGAAAGUUUUCUACCUUGUAAUGGCAAUCCCUGCUGAUGGGGAGGUGGGCUCCCUUGCAUGCAGAAUAACUAACCCCAUUAAGACAAGUUAUACUCAGUGAAAGUGCGCUGGUAUUUCAUUACAAGCAAAAGACACCUGGGACAGAGAAGCAGAAGCACCUAAAGCCUUAUUCCAUUUGCAGAUUCCUAGUGGUUUCUGCUCAGAGUGUUCAGUCUUUCCUCCCCAAACCAAAGGUCACACAAAUACUCUCUUUUCAUGACUGUGGUCAUACUGGAAAACAGGAGAAGAACAAAGAGAAAAGGUGUAUGUUCUUUUUCGUCGUAUCUAAAGUAGACUAUGAUUUUUCUAAUAUAGGCUAUGAUUCUCCAACCCAAAUGCUAGGGUAUUUGCAUGCUUAAUUGACAUGUCUAAUUGCCGUAAUUGCACAUGCUCAUUAGGCAAUUUUGUGUGCAAAUGCUGAGUUAGGCACAUAACUAGGCAUAGUGUUUGCAGUGUGAUCUGGUUCAGCACUCGUGGAAAAUCUGUGAACAAAUUAGACAUGCAAUUGGAUGCACAUUUCAUGUGCUGAAGUUCUGAUCCUGCCCUAAGAAGUUGGGCGGGACCUGGCACCAUGCAGAAUGCAAUUUAAAUGAACGAGAAGAAAGUGCUGCCCUUGUGAGUUCCAUUGCAAGAUCAAGCUCUUCAGCCAGAGCAGAUCAGACCUCAGCUGUCCAUCACAUUACCCAGAGAUUCACACCCUUCUUUAAGGCUGAGCUGGAAUACUGGGAAGCAAAACAAAUUUAACAUUCAUCUGGAAAAAAAAACAACCACCACCAACAAUCAUGAAGCUCUAAUUUGAUAAUCUGAUUGCUGAGGACAUGUAGAUACAGAGCCUCCCUGUCAGGAGGGAGACAAAGCCAGCCUGUCUCUUCCUAUGUUCCCACAGAAGACACAACAGUGAGUAACCCAAGUAGCUCAGUGUUAGCAAUAAAGGAUACUAGCACGGCUUAUAACCAGCACAGCUGAUUUGAGUUAGAGCCCGCAUGUGGGAGCACGGCUACAAGAAAGCCCAACUUUUAUGGUUUAAUGCCUGUAAUUUCUCUCUCUUGCUGAAGAUAUAUGUUCUUUUAAUAAAAAGUACAGAGGAAAAUACCCCAAAAGUAAGAAUUCAAGGCACAGAAAGAUUGAGUUAUGGUUUGUUUAACCCUUCAGUUUUACCUUUCCCAAGCCAGUUUGCAAACUCUCUUGCCCUGGAUUUAUGACAAGCAGGACUAAAGGGACUGUCUAUAGAUUAACGCUGACAUUUCCUUUGUGCAUUAAUCCUAUGAAUCUCAUUUACCCUACAUUUCUGCUGAAUGA
ensembl:lncRNA